rnacentral:rRNA from 1 species
AUUGAACGCUGGCGGCAGGCCUAACACAUGCAAGUCGAACGGUAACAGGAAGAAGCUUGCUUCUUUGCUGACGAGUGGCGGACGGGUGAGUAAUGUCUGGGAAACUGCCUGAUGGAGGGGGAUAACUACUGGAAACGGUAGCUAAUACCGCAUAACGUCGCAAGACCAAAGAGGGGGACCUUCGGGCCUCUUGCCAUCGGAUGUGCCCAGAUGGGAUUAGCUAGUAGGUGGGGUGACGGCUCACCUAGGCGACGAUCCCUAGCUGGUCUGAGAGGAUGACCAGCCACACUGGAACUGAGACACGGUCCAGACUCCUACGGGAGGCAGCAGUGGGGAAUAUUGCACAAUGGGCGCAAGCCUGAUGCAGCCAUGCCGCGUGUAUGAAGAAGGCCUUCGGGUGGUAAAGUACUUUCAGCGGGGAGGAAGGGAGUAAAGUUAAUACCUUUGCUCAUUGACGUUACCCGCAGAAGAAGCACCGGCUAACUCCGUG